GCAAAAAGGAGUACGACACGACUGAGCGACUGAACUGAACUGGGCCUUUGGAAGGGAUUGGCCUGGGCUAAAGUAUCAAAAGACCCUAGGAUUGCAGAAGGUCAACAGUCUCCACUGGAGAAAAAAAUAUUGGUAAAUAAAUCAUCCUAACAUCAUACUGUUUGAAAAGACUAGAAGAAGGAAAGUUAGGUUUAAAAUCCUACUGGCACCCAAGUGACACUUUGCGGUAAUGUGUCCACACUGGCAAAUAUUUUCCAGCUAAAUCUUUACUUGCAAAACAAAGUAUUAUUUUCAAAACUCCCAACACUAUUUAAAAAAAACAAAACAACUAGUUAUUGAUUUUGGUGGUAAGAACACCAACUUUGAGAGCUUGCAGGCUCACCUAGGAGUGAUGGAAGUAAAAUCCCUGUUACUCCAAAGUUAAUGACAGGUCCUUUCUUCCCCCACCUCCACCCCCACCAUGGUCCUUUCUUGGUGUCAAUAAUGAGAAUAGGCUCCUGUUUAAAUAUGUUCAAAGUAAAAAGAUGGUCAUAUUACAAAAUUCUGCACCUCACCUUGACAGAGUCUAGGUGGCGUACAUACAUCAGAAGCAAAACAACUGAUAAUUCAAAAAUAUCAAGAGGAGUAUGAAAUACGCUGUAGGGAGCAAGGGCUUUCCCUUGACUACUGGCUUGCCAAAGCGGAGUCUUACUAUAAUAAAAGAAUAAUGGAAACGGUGAAAGAACAAGAGAAAGGCAGUGAAAUCAAGAAGAGAUUGGAGGGAAAAACAACCCAAAGCAUAGAGAGACAAAAACGGUUUUAUUUGCUACCCGAGAGAGAAAUGAAACACAUAGAAAGGCACAUACAUCGAGGUGGACAGAUCAGAGAGUUUAACAGUAAAACAUUUAAACAAUCAACACCACACUCUAGUGAAAUAAAAUUUCCCAGAAUUGUGCCGGAAGAGCAUGGCAUCCAGAACACACAGAGAAGAAAAAAGCAGGUAAAUGAGAGAGAACAGAUACAGAUUAAAGAUCACCGGGAACGCAUGAUUCGAGGGAGAGAACUUGUAGAGCAAAAACUCAAGGAAAGAAUCUUGAGAAAAGACCAGAGCCAGCCUCCUGUUCGUAAGAAGUGUGAGAGCAUAAAGAGCAUAAAGAAAGAGAUAAAAGAGUAUGAAAGUGUUAUUGCAUACCCACUUUUCCAGCCAUCCGGUAGCAGUCGGAUUAAAGUGAAUGUUCUGAUGGAAAAGUCUCAGAAUAGAGAAGAAAACAACACAAUGAUCAAGCCACUUCAAAGAAGAUUCUUAACUAUGCCACCCUUUUUGAGAAGUCAAAUAGGAAAAAUAAAAGACUCAGUGCUUUCAUGAU